GGUCCUAUGGUUUAGCGGCCUAUGACACUCAUAACUGAGAGACGCGCGUUCGAACCGUGCUAGGAUCG